GACGAACGCUGGCGGCGUGCUUAACACAUGCAAGUCGAACGGAAAGGCCCUGCUUUUGUGGGGUGCUCGAGUGGCGAACGGGUGAGCAACACGUGAGUAACCUGCCCUUGACUUUGGGAUAACUUCAGGAAACUGGGGCUAAUACCGGAUAGGAGCUCCUGCUGCAUGGUGGGGGUUGGAAAGUUUCGGCGGUUGGGGAUGGACUCGCGGCUUAUCAGCUUGUUGAUGGGGUAGUGGCUUACCAAGGCUUUGACGGGUAGCCGGCCUGAGAGGGUGACCGGCCACAUUGGGACUGAGAUACGGCCCAGACUCCUACGGGAGGCAGCAGUGGGGAAUAUUGCACAAUGGGCGGAAGCCUGAUGCAGCAACGCCGCGUGCGGGAUGACGGCCUUCGGGUUGUAAACCGCUUUCGCCUGUGACGAAGCGUGAGUGACGGUAAUGGGUAAAGAAGCACCGGCUAACUACGUG
rnacentral:rRNA from 1 species